CAGUCGCCGCGGUAAUACGAAGGGGGCUAGCGUUGUUCGGAUUUACUGGGCGUAAAGGGUGCGUAGGCGGAUUGUUAAGUCAGGGGUGAAAUCCCGAGGCUCAACCUCGGAACUGCCUUUGAUACUGGCGAUCUUGAGUCCGGGAGAGGUGUGUGGAACUGCGAGUGUAGAGGUGAAAUUCGUAGAUAUUCGCAAGAACACCGGUGGCGAAGGCGGCUCACUGGCCCGGAACUGACGCUGAGGCACGAAAGCGUGGGGAGCAAACAGGAUUAGAGACCCCCGUAGUCCCUGUCUCUUAUAC
rnacentral:rRNA from 1 species